rnacentral:rRNA from 1 species
AGCGAACGCUGGCGGCAGGCUUAACACAUGCAAGUCGAGCGCCCCGCAAGGGGAGCGGCCGACGGGUGAGUACCACGUGGGAACGUACCCUUUGGUUCGGAACAACCCAGGGAAACUUGGGCUAAUACCGGAUAAGUCCGCGAGGAGAAAGAUUUAUCGCCGAAGGAUCGGCCCGCGUCUGAUUAGCUAGUUGGUGUGGUAACGGCGCACCAAGGCGACGAUCAGUAGCUGGUCUGAGAGGAUGAUCAGCCACACUGGGACUGAGACACGGCCCAGACUCCUACGGGAGGCAGCAGUGGGGAAUAUUGGACAAUGGGGGCAACCCUGAUCCAGCCAUGCCGCGUGAGUGAUGAAGGCCCUAGGGUUGUAAAGCUCUUUCGGUGGGGAAGAUAAUGACGGUACCCACAGAAGAAGCCCCGGCUAACUUCGUG